rnacentral:tRNA from 1 species
CCUUCCAUAGCUCAGUUGAUAGAGCGGAGGACUGUAGGUUGAUCAUGACAGGUAUCCUUAGGUUGCUGGUUCAAUUCCAGCUCAAAUGA